UGCCUCGGCGGGGAAUUGAACCCGGGCCGCCGCCCGCGUGGCAGGCGAGCAUUCUACCACUGAACCACCGAUGGU